rnacentral:rRNA from 1 species
UACAGAGGGGGCAAGCGUUGUUCGGAAUUACUGGGCGUAAAGGGCGCGUAGGCGGCCUGCUAAGUCGAACGUGAAAUCCCUGGGCUCAACCCAGGAACUGCGUCCGAUACUGGUUGGCUUGAAUCCGGGAGAGGGAUGUGGAAUUCCAGGUGUAGCGGUGAAAUGCGUAGAUAUCUGGAGGAACACCGGUGGCGAAGGCGACAUCCUGGACCGGCAUUGACGCUGAGGAGCGAAAGCCAGGGGAGCAAACGGG